CUAGCCCCUCAUCUUUUUUUUACCUCUCCAGCCGUCACACCCUCACCCGUUUCCCCAACACCUUCGUCAACCACUAGUGCAGGUAAAUUUGAGGAAUCAAUAGAGCAGCAAUGAUAAGCUAAAACAGAUAUUGAUCAAAUUAAGGUGCAGUUGGAGUAGUGGCAAGAGAGAAAGGAGAAGACUGUGCGGCAUCGGGCAAAAUACUGCUAACAUGAUCAGAUUCAUAGAGAAUUACGUAUUGCAAAUGUUUUGAAAUUUUGAAUAUACAAUUAUGUGUAACUUGAAAUCUAUUUUGGAAUCUGAAAGAUUUGAAUACUUAACUUAAAA